rnacentral:lncRNA from 1 species
AUUGCUUUUAUAUAUAUAUAUAUAUAUAUAUAGUCCGGCUAUGGUGCUUGUAAAAGCACCAAGCACUUGGUACUUGUAAGUUUUUUACCAUUAGAUCUACUCCUCGGAUCAUUUUUAACCAUUAGAUUAUACUAUUCAACCAACCACUCACUCAACCCUAGGGGACUCAUAUCAUCCUAACCGUAUAUCUUUUAAUCCAAUGGCUAAAAAUCUACAAGCACCAAUAACUUAGUACUUUUAAAAGCAUAGGAGCUCAAUUUUAUAUAUAUAUAUAUAUAUAGAGAGAGUGAGGCUACUUUGCUUCUAGAAGUACGGAGCCUUCCGUGCUUCCAGGUCGUUUUCCAUGUGCAACUUUCUAAUCGUCGAUCGGCUCCAUUAAACUUGAUUUACUGUAUUUGAACUAUUUAGAAAAUAAAUUAUGCGAUUUUUCGAUAUUAUUUGUCUAGUGAACGAAGGGGCUCAAAAUCAACGGCUGAAAAUAAAAAUCUUACAAAACGUGAUAAUAUGACAUUAAAAUUUGAAAACAAAGAUAUUGAUCUUGUUUUAUAUAGUAUAAAUGAUUUUCUAUCAAAAUUUCACGUGAUUUGGGUAUUUCUACACCGUUAAACUUGCAAACGGCUCACUACGACCAUUAAAAUUAUUAAUUUUGAGCUCCUUCGAUCACUAGGCAAGUGAUAUCGAAAAAUCAUAAAAUUUAUUUUCUAGGUAUUUCAAAUACUCUAGAUCAAGUUUAAUGGAGCCGAUCGACGAUUCGAAAAUUGCAACAUUAAAAAUGACCUAGAAGCACGAAAGGCUCCAUACUUCCAAAAACAUAGUAGCGUCACUAUAUAUAUAUAUAUAUAUAUAUAUAUAUAUAUGAGUUGAGUUAGAAUAUUAUCGAUAGCAAACGAGCUCUUUUGCCACCCAUUUGUUUUCGAUGAUAGAGCCUCCAAAUCGACGAUCGGCACCGUUGAACAUGAUCUAUAUCACUUGAAGUGUUUAGAAAUCAAAUUUCAAAUCUUUUCGACAUCAUUUGCUUAAUGAUCAAAGGGUUUCAAAUUUUAUAAUUUUAAUAGUCGAUAUGAGGCAUUUUCUCGUUUAACGGUGUAAAGAUAUCCAAAUCAAUUGAAUUUUUGUUAAAAAAUUUUUUAAACUAUUUAAAACAAGAACUAUACUUUUGAUCUUGAUUACAAGACUCCUAUCAUUAUAUUUUUGAGAAUAUUUAUUUUCAGCCAUUCAUUUUUAUGUCCACUCGAUGGAUAAGAGAACAAUAUCGAAAAUGUAUGAAAUUUGAUUUCUAAAUACUUCAAAUGGUAUAAAUCAUGUUCAACGGUGCCGAUCAUCAAUUUGGAGGCUCGAUCAUUGAAACAAAUGGGUGGCAAAAGAGCCGAUUUGCUAUCGAUAGUAUUCUAGCUCAACUAUAUAUAUAUAUAUAUAUAUAUAUAUAUGUAGAGAGCUAGGCUCCUAUACUUUCGAAAGUACGGAGGCCUCCGUGCUUGUAAGUUGUUUUCGAUGAUGGGACAUCCGAUUCGGCGAUCGGUUCCGUUAAACUUGAUCUACGCUAUUGGAACUAUCUAAAAGCCAAUUUUAAUAAUUUUUUGCUUUCAUUUGUUUAGUGAACGAUUAGCCUCAAAAUGAACGGCCGAAAAUAAAAAUCUCAUAAAAAACAGUGAUAAAGGACUCAAAUUUCAAAUCGGAAGUAUUGAUCUUGCUAUUGAUGUUAAAUAGAAUUUUCUAUUAAAUUUUUAUGUAAUUUGGAUACUUCUACACCGUUGAACUUAAAAACAUGCCACAUCGGCCGUUAAAAUAGUCAUUUUUGAGACCUUUUGAUCGCUUGGUAAAUGAUGUCAAAAAAUUAUAAAAUUUGGUUUCUAGAUAAUUCCAAUAGGGUAGAUUAUAUUUAACGGAGCCGAUCGUCGAAUCGAAUGUCCUAUCGUCGAAAACAACUUACACGCACGGAGGUCUCCAUACUUUCGAAAGUACAGGAGACGUACUCUAUAGACAUAUAUAUAUAUACAGAAUUGAGUUAGAAUACUCUCAAAAGUAUCAAUCCCUUGGUGCUUUUGAGUUUCUAGCCCUUGGAUCUACUUCUUGAUUACUAAUAGCCUUUUGAUCAAAUACUAUUCCACCUACCACCAUCAUCUUAAGCCUACAUCUCUCCAUCCAAUGACUAAAAACUCAAAAACACCACUCCCUUGGUGCUUUUAAGAGUAUUCUAGCUCAACUAUAUAUAUAUAUAUCUAUAUAUAUAUAUAUAUAUAUAUAUAUA